rnacentral:rRNA from 1 species
AUUGAACGCUGGCGGAAUGCUUUACACAUGCAAGUCGAACGGCAGCACGGACUUCGGUCUGGUGGCGAGUGGCGAACGGGUGAGUAAUGUAUCGGAACGUGCCCAGUCGUGGGGGAUAACGUAGUGAAAAUUACGCUAAUACCGCAUACGAUCUAUGGAUGAAAGCGGGGGACCGUAAGGCCUCGCGCGAUUGGAGCGGCCGAUAUCAGAUUAGGUAGUUGGUGGGGUAAAGGCUCACCAAGCCGACGAUCUGUAGCUGGUCUGAGAGGACGACCAGCCCCACUGGAACUGAGACACGGUCCAGACGCCUACGGGAGGCAGCAGUGGGGAAUUUUGGACAAUGGGCGCAAGCCUGAUCCAGCCAUUCCGCGUGCAGGAUGAAGGCCCUCGGGUUGUAGACUGCUUUUGUACGGAACGAAAAGGUCCUGGUUAAUACCUGGGGCUCAUGACGGUACCGUAAGAAUAAGCACCGGCUAACUACGUGCCAGCCGCCGCGGUAA